UCUGACAAAAACUAGAAAGAGAGAUCACAUUACUCCUAUUUUAGCUUCACUGCAUUGGCUUCCUGUAAAAUCUAGAAUAGAAUUUAAAAUCCUUCUCCUCACUUUUAAAGCUCUUAAUGGUCAGGCUCCAUCAUAUCUUAAAGAGCUUAUAGUACCUUAUGUACCUACCAGAACACUGUGCUCCCAGCAUGCAGGUCUACUUGUGGUUCCUAGUAUCUCUAAAAGUAGAAUGGGAGGCAGAGCCUUCAGUUAUCAGGCUCCUCUCCUGUGGAACCAUCUCCCAGAUUGGGUCCGGAGGGCAGACACCCUCUCUACUUUUAAGAGUAGGCUUAAAACUUUCCUUUUUGAUAAAGCUUAUAGCUUGUCCUGGACCAGCUCCUAGUUUAUGCUGCUAUAGGCUUAGACUGCCGGGGGACUCCCAUGAUGCACAGAGCUCCUCUCUCCUCCUCCCUCUCUCUCUCUAUCCAUCCAUCUAUAUCCAUUAACAUUCAUGUACUAUUAAUACAUUCAAUAACCUAAACUUCUUCCCCGGAGUUUCUUCCUGUUAAAAGGGAGUUUUUUC